rnacentral:rRNA from 1 species
UACAGAGGGCCCAAGCGUUGUUCGGAUUCACUGGGCGUAAAGGGUGCGUAGGCGGUCGGGUAAGUCUGAUGUGAAAUCUCACAGCUUAACUGUGAAACUGCAUUGGAUACUAUCCGGCUAGAGGAAUGGAGGGGAGACUGGAAUACUUGGUGUAGCAGUGAAAUGCGUAGAUAUCAAGUGGAACACCAGUGGCGAAGGCGAGUCUCUGGACAUUUCCUGACGCUGAGGCACGAAAGCCAGGGGAGCAAACAGG